rnacentral:other from 1 species
ACAUGCCUGCGGUGUUGGUGAACUUCCAGUUUAAUUCGAACCGAACACCAAUUCACAUUGGGAGCCUUACAUUGAAAAGCGGCCAGCAUGCCCUGGAUUUCAGGGAAGCUGAAUGCUUUUCUGCAGGCACCCACCUGCCUAGGGCGGGUUCGUGAAAUCUUGAAGAUAACCGCACAUGCGGGCUGUC